rnacentral:rRNA from 1 species
AUUGAACGCUGGCGGCAUGCUUUACACAUGCAAGUCGAACGGCAGCACGGGUGCUUGCACCUGGUGGCGAGUGGCGGACGGGUGAGUAAUACAUCGGAACGUAUCCAGAAGAGGGGGAUAACGCAUCGAAAGAUGUGCUAAUACCGCAUAUUCUCUGAGGAGGAAAGCAGGGGAUCGCAAGACCUUGCGCUUUUGGAGCGGCUGAUGUCUGAUUAGCUAGUUGGUGGGGUAAAGGCCUACCAAGGCGACGAUCAGUAGUUGGUCUGAGAGGACGACCAGCCACACUGGGACUGAGACACGGCCCAGACUCCUACGGGAGGCAGCAGUGGGGAAUUUUGGACAAUGGGCGCAAGCCUGAUCCAGCAAUGCCGCGUGAGUGAAGAAGGCCUCGGUUGUAAGCGUCUUCUAGUCGAGAAGAAAGGACGUAGUGGUAAGUAAUACUACAGUUAC